rnacentral:lncRNA from 10 species
ACCCUUAAAGAAUUUUCGUUGGCCUCCUAGGCUCAGGUAUCAGCCCUUUCAAGGAGGGAGCACCCAGAGCACCUGUCAAGACAGUGCCCUUGGUGUAAGCUGCUUCACAUGAGGUUUUCUCACUUACAACCAACGGGGUCCUUGUAUGUACGAUCCAGUGAGAUCUGGCCAGCCCUCCUGCACCGGGCCAUUAAAUGCCAUCUCCAUAUGGUGGCUAUGCUGGAGCUGGUAUUCUCCAUUU